AAGCUCGAGUUGAAUUUCGGGAUUAGUACGUCGGUCGUGCCUUAGGUACGUACUGGUGUUACUGGUUCCUACCUUCUGACGAACCAUCAUGUCAUUAAUUUGGUGUGGUGGGGAAUCAGGACUGUUACUUUGAAAAAAUUAGAGUGUUUAAAGCAGGCUCGCGCUUGAAUACAUUAGCAUGGAAUAAUGAAAUAGGACGUUGAUCCUAUUUUGUUGGUUUCUAGGAUUGACGUAAUGAUUAAUAGGGAUAGUUGGG
rnacentral:rRNA from 1 species